UACGAGGGGGGCGAGCGUUGUUCGGAAUUAUUGGGCGUAAAGGGAGUGUAGGCGGUUUGCUAAGUCUUCUGUGAAAUCUACGGGCUCAGCCUGUAACGUGCAGAGGAAACUGACAGACUUGAGUGUCGGAGAGGAUAGUGGAAUUCCCGGUGUAGAGGUGAAAUUCGUAGAGAUCGGGAGGAACACCAGUGGCGAAGGCGACUAUCUGGCUGACAACUGACGCUGAGACUCGAAAGCAUGGGGAGCAAACAGG
rnacentral:rRNA from 1 species